GAACCGUCCAAACGUUUAUUCGGAAUCAUUGGGCUUAAAGGGUGCGUAGGCGGUGUGGUCAGUUGGGUGUGAAAUCCCUCGGCUCAACCGAGGAACUGCGCCCAAUACUGCCACACUCGAGGGAGACAGAGGUAAGCGGAACUGAUGGUGGAGCGGUGAAAUGCGUUGAUAUCAUCAGGAACACCAGUGGCGAAGGCGGCUUACUGGGUCUCUUCUGACGCUGAGGCACGAAAGCUAGGGGAGCGAACGGGGGAUUAGAUACCCCGGUAGUCCUAGCUGUAAACGAUGAGCACUUAAUCGGAGACUCCGCCAUAGGUUUCCGGUCGUAGCGAAAGUGUUAAGUGCUCGCCUGGGGAGUAUGGUCGCAAGGCUG
rnacentral:rRNA from 1 species